CCUACGGGUGGCAGCAGUGAGGAAUAUUGGUCAAUGGACGCAAGUCUGAACCAGCCAAGUAGCGUGCAGGAUGACGGCCCUCCGUGUUGUAAACUGCUUUUAGUUGGGAAUAAAAGGGGGCUCGUGAGCCCCGUAUUGUAUGUACCAUCCAAAAACGGACCGGCUAAUUCCGUGCCAGCAGCCGCGGUAAUACGGAAGGUCCGGGCGUUAUCCGGUUUUAUUGGGUUUAAAGGGACCGUAGGCCGGCUUUUAAGUCAGCUUUGAAAGUCCGCGUCUCAACCGUGGAAUUGCAGGUUAAACUGGAGGCGUUGAGUGCACACAGGGAUGCCGGAAUUCAUGGUGUAGCGGUGAAAUGCUUGAUAUCAUGAAGAACUCCGAUCGCGAAGGCAAGUGUCCGGGGUGCAACUGACGCUGAGGCUCGAAAGUGCGGGUAUCAAACAGGAUUAGAUACCCGAGUAGUC
rnacentral:rRNA from 1 species